rnacentral:lncRNA from 1 species
AGAAUAUGAUUUUAUAAUAUAGAUAAAAAUUUGUUUAAAGCGUAAAAAAACCAAAAACAAAAGAAAAUAGAUUGCUUAAAAAAAUAGAUAAAAAAAUAAACUUACUUAAAAAAAAUUGUUUGGUUAAAAGUAUUUCUUAACUCUUCAAUUUUAGUGUGUAUAAUUUGAUUUUGAAAAUAUUAAAUGAAAAUUGAGAUAAAAAAGAAAAAAAUAAGAAAAAGAUAGAGUUACGGGACAGAGAAAUCAAAAGAAAGAAGAAAAAGAUAUCAUUUAAAGUGUUACCUGGUUUUACAAGUUUUUAGAAAACUUUUUUAAACUUAAUAUAAAUUAUAAUAAUAUAUAAAUAUAUUAUUUAAAACAUAUAUAAAAAGUAAAAAAAU